rnacentral:lncRNA from 10 species
GCUGUGAUGAAGUUCACUAUGGCAGCCACCUCCGGCUCCGACUGAGGGGAGGGCCCGUGAUAAGUUUCUGAGCAGGGGUUGCUGUUAGAACCAUUUCCUGGAAGUAAAAUAAAGCCACCCAAAGAGUCAAAUCCCCACGUGCGACACAGACGGUGCUCACAAAAUACCUGUGUGUUCCCCUACAUUUCCCAGCCUCCUUUGCAGUAUGACUGAGGUCAUGUGACUACUUUGACCAAUGGAAAGGUGAGCAGAAAUGACACGGCACUUCUGGGUUGAGAUUGUUAAGAGCAAGUGUGACUUCUCCAUGCUCUUUUCUGUCUGUGUGGCUGGAAGCAAAAAAAAAAAAUUCUAGAUAGAAACAGCCUCCUGGAUCCCUCUCUCACUGCGGAAGAAAGCCGCCAAGGAGAGUCACCUGUUCAUGUUGGACUUUGUGUGCAUGAAAAACAAACUUUCAUUGUGUUAAACCACUGAGAUUGGGAUGGAUAUUUGUUACUGCUGCAUCCUCUAAUCUAAUAUGUCAGAGGACUGCAGCCGCACCAUACCCUGCAGUUCUGAAGCCCUGCAGGGAGCCCCCUCGGCUUGUCCUGUGGUCCCUUUAGGAAGGUGGGCCUGGCUCAGAAGUUGCAUCCAGAGGAAACUGAAGCUGACCCAAAUCUCAACAGCCUACCAUGACCAAUGUGUGCCAGCCACUGUGUGCCUGGUGCCAUCAGCUGUGACGAGCAGCUGCAAGGAAGACAGCAGCCUGCCAGCUGUGAGGACAAGGCAAAGGGUCUCCAAGGAUCUGGUGGAAGCCUGAAGUUGGGGUGAAAGUGGAGGACAGGGAGGAGAAAUCGGAAAAAGAAAGGACUAGAAGACUCAAUUUUCCCUACACAGCCUGGGACACCCACAGGAAGACAGGACCCAGGAGGCUGUCCUUUGUUCCACACAAGAGCUUGGAGGCAAAUGGGAAGUCAGCACCAAACUGCAAAUAACUUUCCAGACACCCUCACAGCCUUGUGAAUGGAGGUGACACCCUCUUUCAAACUGGGAAUUCUCAGCCCUCACAGCUGGCCCCACUUCCAGGAACAGGAAUCUGCCUUGGCCUGGAAAAUGCACCAGCGUUUGCUCCAUUCCUGGGGCUGGGGGAAGGGGAUGGGUGACGGAAGAAUGCGGUCAGGCCACAGGCUGAGGAAUGCCUAAUGACAGCCCUGUCAGGCUUCUCAGGAAAAAACAACAAAACAAAGAAACCAACCAACUCAGAAGUAAGCCAUCUGCCUCCCUGGAAGCCAUAACCUGACAGGGAAAGUAAUACCUCAGUGUGAAUUAAUUUACGAUGAGUCAAGGAAGGAUGGGGGCCCUAAGGGAAGAACAGUCCUCCCGGGUUGGGCAGGGGAGGAGGUAGCAGGGCCCCAGUGCUGAAGCUGAGGCGGAGGAGAGCAGAUCUCUCACAGCCGAACUCCAGCCACAGAUGCAAAAUGGACGCAGCUCAUGGAAACAGAGUGGGUUGGGGGCUCUGGGACAGCAGCCGCUGCCUCUCCUCCCACGUUCCUGGCCUUCUCUUCCAGGUCUAACAUCUGCAGUAGCAGCUAUGUGGCCAGUAGCAACUCCAGUCCUGUGGCACUGGAUGUGGGGGGUGGCUGCUGAUCUGAAGUUUUCAGAAUGGACCCCCUCAGAGGUCAAGGCCAAACCACAAGGCUUCCCUGUCUAAAAGGCAAAGUUAAAGUGCCACACAGACAACAGUGAUGACCACUGAGGGGACAGAUGCCUUGAGAGUGGAGUCUGAGGGUGCGGGAGCUCAGGUUAAACCCUGAUCCUGCCACCAACUCCAUCAAAUUACUAACAUCUCUGUGCCUCAGUUUCCCCAUUGUAAAAUGGAGGUCAUGUUAUCACAUACUUUAUCACAUACUUUAAAAUGUUCUCAUGAGAGCCAGGCGCAGUGGCUGACACCUGUAAUCCCAGCACUUUGGGAUGCCAAGGCAGAUGGAUCACUUGAGGCCUCCGGAGUUCAAGACUGGCCUGGCCAACAUGGCAAAACCCUGUCUCUACUAAAAAUACAAAAAUCAGCCAGGCGUGGUGGCGCGCGCCUGUAAGCCCAGCUACUUGGGAAACUGAGGCAGGAGAAUUGCUUGAACCCAGGAGGCGGAGGUUGCAGUUAGGGGCGAUUGUGCCACUGCACUCCAGCCUGGGCGACAGAGCAAGACUCCAUCACACAAACACACACACACACACACACACACCAAUGUUCUCAUGAGGAUUAGAAGGGUUAAUACAUGCUAAAUGCUUAGACUUUUGCCAGGCAUGUAGUAAAUGCUAGUGAAUGUUAGCUAUGAUGAUGAGGAGGAGUGUGACAAUGAUAAGGAGGGUGAUAAUAACUUUGGGGUGACUCCAGGGCUCUGUGAUGGAGCAUUACAAGGCAUGACCAGGAAGUCUGGGUUUCUCCAGAGGUAGGAUAGCUUCUGUAGGACUUGGAGGGCAGAAAGCCCCCAUUAAUGGUCAUCUGGGGGAGUCAGUCAGCACCUGACUUUCAUGGGGCCCAACAGAGGGGCCUGGGUCCUCUUCUUCUGUCCCUACCCCCAUGAUGCAGGCAGCCUCCAUCUCUCUUAGGGUCUUGCCCAUCACUGCUGCUGUCUUCCCUGGCUUCUCCUGCAAUCUUUCCUGUUGUCUUCUUCUCCUCUCUGGAGCUGCCACUCACCCACAGACCAGCCAACAGCAUUUCUACCUUUAAAACUCUGCUAUUCAAGCCAGGCAUGGUGGUGCACGCCUGCAGUCCCAGCCAUUCGGGAGGCUGAGGCAGGAGGAUCUCUUGAGCCCAGGCGUUCAAGGCUGCAGUACGCUAUGACUGUGCCUGUGAAUAGCCACUUUACUCCACCCUGGGCAAUAUAACAAAACCCCAUCUUAAAAAACAAAAACAAACAAACAAAAAAACCUCUCGUGGUUCACGCCUAUGAUCCCUGCACUUUGGGAGGCUGAGGCAGGUGGAUCACUUGAGGCCAGGAGUUUGGGACCAGCCUGGCCAACAUGGUGAAACCCUGUCUCUACUUUAAAAAAAAAAUUAAUAAUAAUAAUACAAAAAUUGGCCAGGGGUGGUGGUGUGUGCCUGUAAUCCAAGCUACUCGGGAGGCUGAGGCAUGAGAAUUGCUUGAGCCUGGGAGGUGGAGGCUGCAGUGAGCCGAGAUCAUGCCACUGUACUCCAGCCUGGGUGAGGGAGUGAGACCCUGUCUCAAAAAGAAAACAAAUAAACAAAUAAAAACUGUACUCUUCAGCUAGCAAGAUAAUAAUUUAAAGAAGUAAAGAAUUAAAUUAUAUAAGCAAUGAGAAAAAGGUAAAUGUCAACAAGAGUGAAAUGGGAAAGAAAGAGGAAGUUGGAGAAGUGGGGAAGAAGGGUACAAUUUAAAAUAAGAUGAGCAGUCUGGCGUGGUGGCUCACACCUGUAAUUUCAGCACUUUGGGAGCUCGAGGUUGGCGGGUUGCCUGAGCCCAGGAGUUCAAGAGCAGCCUGGGCAACAUAAUCAGACCCCAUCUCUACAAAAAAUACAAAAAUUAGCUGGGUAUGGUGACAUGGGCCUGUAGUCCCAGGGCCUGUACUUAGAAGGCUGAGGCGAGAGGAUGGAGUGAGCCUGGGAGUUCGAGGCUGCAGUGAGCCAUGAUCGUGCCACUGCACUUAAGCCUAGACAACAGAGUGAGAUCUUGUCUCAAAAUAAAUAAAUACAAUAAAAUGAAAAGCCUUAUGACCAUUGCAAGGGCUUUGGCUUCUACUCCAAAUUAGUUGGGUUUUAAGCAGAGGAACAACAUGCUUGAAUUUGCAAUAGUUUUAAAGGACUCUUCUGGCUGCUGUUUUGAGAUUAGGUAAUAAGGAAUCAAGGUGGAGAAUGGGGGAGAGCAGUUAGAAAGCAACUGGAAGAACCCAGGUGAGGGACGAGAUGGCGCAUGGGCCCUCGGGGGUGGUGUGGGAUGUGCUAAGAUCCAUUCUGAAGGCAGCGAUAAAUCUGUUGUUGAUGGGGAGUUUGAGGAAGGGGUCAAGAAUGGCUCCCAGCUUCUGGUCUGAGUGACUGGAAGGAUGGUGUUGCCAUUUCCUGAGAUAAAGAGGGCUGUGGAGGCACCGAUGAAGGGCCAGGGGAGCUUGGUCUGGACCUGGAAAGUUGGAGAUGCCCAUUGCACCCCCAGGUGGAAACACUGAGUAGGCGGUUGGAUCCAGGAGAGGAGGUGCUGGCUGGAGACAGAACACAGAAGUCCUGGAUGCCAGGGGAAGAGACAGGCUCCAGGAAGGAGAGAGUGACCAGUUGUGCUGUUGGAAGAGGAACAUUGAGAGUCGGCCAUCGGGUUGGAUCUGGAAGUUGCGUGUGACAUUGUCGAGGGAAGCUUUGGUGAAGUGAGGGGGUGGGCAGCCUGCUGGCGGACAGGGAUGGAGAUGACAGGGAGAGUCAGUAUUUUCAGGAGUUUCAGUCUAUGGGGAAGCAUAAAAAUGGGGUGAUGGCUGGAGGGGAGAGGGAAGGGAUCAAGAGAGGGUUUUUUUAAAUGGGAGAAAUAACUGUAUUUGCAUGGUGAUGAGAGUGAUCCACUAGGGCGAGGGAAAUUGGCAACGCAGUAUUUACACUCAAUUGUAUUCUGCUCUAGAUGGUCAGAGUAUGGGUGAUUUUUGUUUUCUCCUUGUGCUUUCCACUAUUUUCCAAAUUAUCUAACAUGAAUAUUUAUUAAUUUUGUAAUCAGAAAAAAAGCCAUUAAAAGCCACAGAGCUGAUUGCUCAAGUGAAGUUUUUCCAUGGUGACUCAU